UACGUAGGGAGCAAGCGUUGUUCGGAUUUACUGGGCGUAAAGGGCGCGUAGGCGGCGCGGUAAGUCACUUGUGAAAUCUCUGAGCUUAACUCAGAACGGCCAAGUGAUACUGCAGUGCUAGAGUGCAGAAGGGGCAAUCGGAAUUCUUGGUGUAGCGGUGAAAUGCGUAGAUAUCAAGAGGAACACCUGAGGUGAAGACGGGUUGCUGGGCUGACACUGACGCUGAGGCGCGAAAGCCAGGGGAGCGAACGGG
rnacentral:rRNA from 1 species